GACGAACGCUGGCGGCGUGCUUAACACAUGCAAGUCGAACCAUGAAGCCGGAGCUUGCUCUGGUGAAUUAGUGGCGAACGGGUGAGUAACACGUGAGUAACCUGCCCUUGACUCUGGGAUAACUGCGGGAAACUGUAGCUAAUACCGGAUACGACCCUCGGAGGCAUCUCCUGGGGGUGGAAAGAAUUUCGGUCAAGGAUGGACUCGCGGCCUAUCAGCUAGUUGGUGGGGUAAAGGCCUACCAAGGCGACGACGGGUAGCCGGCCUGAGAGGGGGACCGGCCACACUGGGAAUGAGACACGGCCCAGACUCCUACGGGAGGCAGCAGUGGGGAAUAUUGCACAAUGGGCGCAAGCCUGAUGCAGCAACGCCGCGUGAGGGAUGACGGCCUUCGGGUUGUAAACCUCUUUUAGCAGGGAAGAAGCGAAAGUGACGGUACCUGCAGAAAAAGCACCGGCUAACUACGUGCCAGCCGCCGCAGUAA
rnacentral:rRNA from 1 species